AGAGCGAACGCUGGCGGCAGGCUUAACACAUGCAAGUCGAGCGGGCGUAGCAAUACGUCAGCGGCAGACGGGUGAGUAACGCGUGGGAACAUGCCUUUUGGUUCGGAACAACACAGGGAAACUUGUGCUAAUACCGGAUAAGCCCUUACGGGGAAAGAUUUAUCGCCGAAAGAUUGGCCCGCGUCUGAUUAGCUAGUUGGUGAGGUAACGGCUCACCAAGGCGACGAUCAGUAGCUGGUCUGAGAGGAUGAUCAGCCACAUUGGGACUGAGACACGGCCCAAACUCCUACGGGAGGCAGCAGUGGGAAUAUUGGACAAUGGGCGCAAGCCUGAUCCAGCCAUGCCGCGUGAGUGAUGAAGGCCCUAGGGUUGUAAAGCUCUUUUGUGCGGGAAGAUAAUGACGGUACGCAAGAAUAAGCCCGGCUAACUUCGUGCCAGCAGCCGC
rnacentral:rRNA from 1 species